rnacentral:rRNA from 1 species
AUUGAACGCUGGCGGCAUGCCUUACACAUGCAAGUCGAACGGCAGCACGGGUGCUUGCACCUGGUGGCGAGUGGCGAACGGGUGAGUAAUACAUCGGAACAUGUCCUGUAGUGGGGGAUAGCCCGGCGAAAGCCGGAUUAAUACCGCAUACGAUCUACGGAUGAAAGCGGGGGACCUUCGGGCCUCGCGCUAUAGGGUUGGCCGAUGGCUGAUUAGCUAGUUGGUGGGGUAAAGGCCUACCAAGGCGACGAUCAGUAGCUGGUCUGAGAGGACGACCAGCCACACUGGGACUGAGGCACGGCCCAGACUCCUACGGGAGGCAGCAGUGGGGAAUUUUGGACAAAGGGCGAAAGCCUGAUCCAGCAAUGCCGCGUGUGUGAAGAAGGCCUUCGGGUUGUAAAGCACUUUUGUCCGGAAAGAAAUCCUUGGCCCUAAUACGGUCGGGGGAUGACGGUACCGGAAGAAUAAGCACCGGCUAACUACGUG